GACGAACGCUGGCGGCGUGCUUAACACAUGCAAGUCGAACGGAAAGGCCCUGCUUGCAGGGUACUCGAGUGGCGAACGGGCGAGUAACACGUGGGUGAUCUGCCCUGCACUACGGGAUAAGCCUGGGAAACUGGGUCUAAUAACGGACAGGAGACAUUUUUAGUGUGAUGGUUGGAAAGUUUUUUCGGUGUAGGAUGAGCUCGCGGCCUAUCAGCUUGUUGGUGGGGUAAUGGCCUACCAAGGCGGCGACGGGUAGCCGGCCUGAGAGGGUGGACGGCCACAUUGGGACUGAGAUACGGCCCAGACUCCUACGGGAGGCAGCAGUGGGGAAUAUUGCACAAUGGGCGCAAGCCUGAUGCAGCGACGCCGCGUGGGGGAUGACGGCCUUCGGGUUGUAAACUCCUUUCGCUAGGGACGAAGCUUUUUGUGACGGUACCUAGAUAAGAAGCACCGGCUAACUACGU
rnacentral:rRNA from 1 species